CCUUCGCAGUCGUUUGCGUAAAGGCAGGCGGCCUCCCCGCCUGUGAAGAUCGAAUACCUUCGCAGUCGUUUGCGUAUAGGCAGACGACCUCCCCGCCUACGAAGAUCUUUUUGGGCCGCUUGCGAUAAUGAUUUUCCCAAGCACACAACUUGUUAAGAUCGGACCAUGGGGGUGGAACCGGAGGAGGUCGUGUAGACAUGUCUGUGCCCCCAAGGAGCUUGAAAAGCAUUACGAUCCGUAGCGGGGCAGCCAUUGAUGCUGUAGCCUUUACAUACAAUGGCACAGACGGGAAGGACCAUCUUGCAGGUCCUUGGGUGGCGGCGGGCUGGUGGCGGAAAUCCCAGCUACGAUUACACUUGGGUCUCAGGAAUUCGUGAAGGAAAUCUCCGGAACUUUCACCAAUGUCGUGACAAACCUUACGAUUGUCACCAAU